rnacentral:rRNA from 1 species
AGAGUUUGAUCAUGGCUCAGGACGAACGCUGGCGGCGUGCUUAACACAUGCAAGUCGAGCGGAAAGGCUCCUUCGGGGGUACUCGAGCGGCGAACGGGUGAGUAACACGUGAGUAAUCUGCCCCUGGCUUUGGGAUAGCCACCGGAAACGGUGAUUAAUACCGGAUAUGACCACUUCUCGCAUGGGUUGUGGUGGAAAGUUUUUCGGCCAGGGAUGUGCUCGCGGCCUAUCAGCUUGAUGGUGAGGUAAUGGCUCACCAUGGCUUCGACGGGUAGCCGGCCUGAGAGGGUGACCGGUCACACUGGGACUGAGACACGGCCCAGACUCCUACGGGAGGCAGCAGUGGGGAAUAUUGGACAAUGGGCGGAAGCCUGAUCCAGCAACGCCGCGUGAGGGAUGACGGCCUUCGGGUUGUAAACCUCUUUCACCCAUGACGAAGCGCAAGUGACGGUAGUGGGAGAAGAAGCACCGGCCAACUACGUGCCAGCAGCCGCGGUAAUACGUAGGGUGCGAGCGUUGUCCGGAAUUAUUGGGCGUAAAGGGCUCGUAGGCGGUUUGUCGCGUCGGGAGUGAAAACCAGGUGCUUAACACCUGGCUUGCUUUCGAUACGGGCAGACUAGAGGUAUUCAGGGGAGAACGGAAUUCCUGGUGUAGCGGUGAAAUGCGCAGAUAUCAGGAGGAACACCGGUGGCGAAGGCGGUUCUCUGGGAAUGACCUGACGCUGAGGAGCGAAAGUGUGGGGAGCGAACAGGAUUAGAUACCCUGGUAGUCCACACCGU